rnacentral:rRNA from 4 species
UACGUAGGGGGCAAGCGUUAUCCGGAUUUACUGGGUGUAAAGGGAGCGCAGACGGCAAUGCAAGUCUGAAGUGAAAGGCGUGGGCUCAACCCAUGAACUGCUUUGGAAACUGUAUAGCUUGAGUGUCGGAGGGGUAAGCGGAAUUCCUAGUGUAGCGGUGAAAUGCGUAGAUAUUAGGAGGAACACCGGAGGCGAAGGCGGCUUACUGGACGACAACUGACGUUGAGGCUCGAAGGCGUGGGGAGCAAACAGG